CAGCAGCCGCGGUAAAACGUAGGUCCCGAGCGUUAUCCGGAAUGAUUGGGCGUAAAGCGUCUGUAGGUGGCUUUUCAAGUCCGCCGUCAAAUCCCAGGGCUCAACCCUGGACAGGCGGUGGAAACUACCAAGCUGGAGUACGGUAAAGGCAGAGGGAAUUUCCGGUGGAGCGGUGAAAUGCGUUGAGAUCAGAAAGAACACCAACGGCGAAAACACUCUGCUGGGCCGACACUGACACUGAGAGACGAAAGCUAGGGGAGCAAAUGGGAUUAGAUACCCCCGUAGUCCCUGUCUCUUAUAC
rnacentral:rRNA from 1 species